UGACAGCUCUGUUGGUAGAGCAUGAGACUCUUAACCUCAGGGCCAGGGGUUCGAGCCCCACAAUGGGCAAAA